CGUCGCCGACUCUCUCUCUCCUCUCCCUCUCCUCUUGCUCUCCCUCUCCCUCUCCUUCCCUCUCUCUGCCGCUCCCUCUCCCUCCCUCUCGCGCGCUCUCCCUCUCCCUCUCCUCUCACUCUCGCUUUCCCUCCCUCUCUCUGCCACUCCCUCUCGCUCUCGCAAAAAAUUUAGAAAGCUCUGUCGUUCGAUUACAAGAAGAGUUACAGGGGAUUUUGGGAGAAAUCUGCAGAUUUUGAGCUCCUUUUGCAUUGGUUUUGGCCGAAAUGGAGAAUCCAGAGGUUUGAAAUUGGGAUUUGUGAGAGAAACUUAGAGAUUCAAGGAGUUUCUGUGUAGCGAAGCUCUCUGCGGCUUUAAUGGCGGACUUGUAGCAUCCUUAUGCAGUUCGUUGAAGGAAAUGCUUGCAGAUUUUAGAUCCCUCGUUUCUUCUUUUAAAGGGAAGCACUUAUUCUAGUUCGAAUUGCGGUGGUCCCACAACUUCAGUCCUUGUGCACAGUAUACAACAAAAUGAGUAUAUGAAUCCGAAUGAAUAAUCUCCAUGGUUGCAGUUUCCUUCUGAAGAAAGGAAGUGGGCGUUUGGGCUUUAGGAGGGAUUGCUAUCUUGAUGAACUAGCCCAGUAAUCUAGCCAUAAAAAAUCACUAGGCAGGCCACACAAGUAAGGAAAUAAUGGACGGUCCAAAAGAAUUUGGCGAGUUCUUAUAAACCAGCCAUCAUUUUCAUACAUUUGCUGCCCCAUUGACUCGCCUGAUUUUUAGCCAAGUCAUCUCAUAGGUAGCAAAACUCUGUAUUUUUGAAAAAAAGAAAAAAACCUCAUAUAAUUGAUUAA